AGUCGAGGAUGUCACAUCGGCAUAAUGGAUUAAAAGACAAGUUGAUCGCUCGCGCCCACAUUUUCAUGCUAUCAAAUUUCAGCUCUGCGUGACUUGAUAUCGAAGAUUUCCAGAAUGACACAAUCCUUGACAAUCAUCCAACCUCCAUGAAAAACUCGAUCAUAGUCCUGCUGGUUCUAAAAGCUUGCCAUGAACACGUUCCC
rnacentral:lncRNA from 1 species